rnacentral:tRNA from 1 species
AGCGGCCCAGGGCGGGGGCGAAGGGAAAGGUCAGCACGACCGGGACCAGGGCUUCAGCCAGGGGCUCUCGGGAGCCAGGAGAAAGCGGGGCCCAGCCCGAGGCGAUGGGAGCGGUGCCGACAGGGGAGCUGGAGGGAGCGGCUCCCGCCUACAAGACAGGAUUCCUUUGCUCUGAGUGUCACAGAAGGACUAGCCCAGACCACAGGUCUGGCAGGGCUGUGUGGGCGGGGGUGUGGGACGUCUAAGCAGUGCCGGUGUGCACCAGCGAGCGAGAACCAGAAAAUUCCUGCAGCCACUUGGAAAGGGGGAGAGGGUAGUAUGGUGUCCAGCCCCCCGGGGGGGUGGGGGUGGGGGUGGGGGGCCGGAUACAGGUGGUGAGAGAACUUCAGGAAGAAGGGAGGUUAUGUUUGGUUUGGUUUUCCUAUCAAUCUGAAAGAAAGGGAUCCAAAAUCAGAAAUUAAAUAGCUUCUUGUCAACUUGAGCCGGUGGCCUAAGAUUUGUAACUAUGUCAUAUGUUUGGGAAAUGCUUAUUUCAAAAAUUAAACACUUUUCCUUAAUGUGGGGCUGCUAAGAAUUUUAAAAUGCUAAAAUAAUAGAUUUUGCAUCUCAGAGAAAGGAUUCAAUAGAUCACUUGUGUGCUGGUAAAUGAUCAAUAACUGACUCAGGGAUCAGAUCAGGGAUUAAAAACUCUGAUUUGGAGCAUUUGCCAGUUUCCAUGGUGGAAAUAAUCUGAAGAGCCAUCCCAGCUCUAGAUCUCCCCUGGGUAUUUGCCGAGGCCUUUGUUAUAGUUCAACAGAUCCCCGGCCUUCUGCUGGCACUCUCCAUGGGUGAGGGCAUGGUGGUCCAGAGGGCUCUCCACAAUGAACUUCUCACAUGCAAAUCUGCCUUGCAGACCUGACUUAAGACUUGUCCUUUUGCAUGUGUAUCGUUAGUUUUGAUUAAAGGAAACAAUGUCCUCAUUAUAGUAUUUCUGCACAAUUGGGUUAAGUGAUUAUACCAACGCCAAGAUCUCCGACAUAUGGGCAUAACAUACAGUUUGGGUCCCCAUGGUAGCCAGAAUCCAGAAUGACCAUAAAUGAGUCUUACCUCCUAAUUAGGGGUGAAAACGGGUGUAUUCACACCCCUAAAAAAGGGCUUCUCUGUGUAACCAGUAGGAUAUUUUGCAAAUGAAUGUGUGACUUACGAGUCUCCAGUCUCGGUUAUAAAAGCCACUGUGGCUUUUGCCUUGUCCUUUUUUGGGUCACUCACUCUGGGGGAAGCCAGAUGCCAUGUCAUGCAGACUGUGGAGUAGCUCUGUGGAGGAGGCCACGUGAUGAGAAACUUCGUAGCAUCAAUUUGCCACGGUGAGAAUUCACCGUCUCUGGAGCAGAUCCUCCAGCUCUAGUCAAGCCUUUACUUAUAUGACUGCAGCCCAACUCCUAAACUUCUGAGCUGCAGAAACUAUGCUAGAAAAUAAAUGUUUACUGUUGUUUUAAGCUGCUAAAUUGGGAGGUAAUUUGUUAUGCUAACUUACAACUAACAGAGCACCUAAUCCAUAGGAGCUUUGUAAUUAGCAAGGGAGAAAAGAUGGCCAUGAUACACACAAACAUGGGAAGCCAGUGUGUGUGAUCAUAUACUGCCUGUUACAGNNNNNAAAACUGGGAGGCGGGAAGUGAGGGUGUGCAGCUGGAAAAUAAGGAGUUCCACAUGAGAAGAUUUCAAGAGGUCAAUUUUGGAAGAAAAGGUUUGAAGAAAGGCAGGACCAAAUUUUGAGGUUUCACCUUUUUGGAGAAAUCAAAUUCCUGAGGAGUUGAUUCAAAUGUUCUUUGAAAAAUGUGAAAUUCAUUUGAAAAUCCAGAAUGUAUCUUUUGGGACUUCCUGGCAGUCCAGUGGUUAAGACUCUGCACUUCCAAUGCAGGGGGCCCAGGUUUGAUACCUGGUUGGAGAACUAAAAUCCCGCACGCUGUCUGGCAAGGCCAAAUAUAUAUAUAUAUAUCUUUAGAACAACAUACAAGUCAACCUGUUUUUUAAAAAGUAAUUCAGUCUUAUACAGUUUGUUCUCUACCACCUUUUAUGUUGGGUGAGAAAUAACAGAGUAUUUAUUUAUUCAGUUCAAUUCAGUUCAGUCGCUCAGUCGUGUACGACUCUUUGCGACCCCAUGAAUCA